rnacentral:rRNA from 1 species
UACGGAGGGUGCUAGCGUUGUUCGGAAUUACUGGGCGUAAAGCGUACGUAGGCGGCUUUGUAAGUUAGAGGUGAAAGCCCGGGGCUCAACUCCGGAAUUGCCUUUAAGACUGCAUCGCUUGAAUCAUGGAGAGGUGAGUGGAAUUCCGAGUGUAGAGGUGAAAUUCGUAGAUAUUCGGAAGAACACCAGUGGCGAAGGCGACUCACUGGACAUGUAUUGACGCUGAGGUACGAAAGCGUGGGGAGCAAACAGG